UGACAAGCUUGCUCCUGGGAGAUGAAGCA
rnacentral:piRNA from 1 species